rnacentral:pre_miRNA from 1 species
AGGAACAACAGUGGUGGCGGCCAGCUCUGGAAACCUGGAGUCAGCUCCUGCAGUAGCUACAGAACUCUCCGUCUGCAGGGCCUGGAGGCUCUGGGGCUGG